GACGGUUCGCUGUGCCUUCCUUUCCUCGUCCAGCAAUGGCAGGGUUGAGACCGUACGAGAGACUGGGCUGGCAGCACCGCGAGUGGCCCUGGGAAAGGCUGUGGAGGGGCCAGAGAACACAAUUCUUUGCAUAGUUAGGGUUGAGUAAGUCGCACUGUCUCAGGGCCCCAUCCCCAAGUUCUUCAGGCUCAGAAGACAGCGCCUGUUCACGUUUGCGGAAAUAAGUGGGGCACCUGGAGUGUGCUCACCUGUUUAGCCAACUCUCCACUCGCUGGGAGGUGUAGAUUGGAGCAGUCAUCGGAAUGUUUUAGAAUUUCCUCUUCCGCCCGAUUUAAUCUUUACUAAGAGCUUUUGUAAAAAAUUAGGCUAAUUUAGCUUUCCAAAGUUAGGUUGGUUGCCGGACCAUGGUUCAGAAUUUCUGGGAAGCAUGUUCAGAAAGCCGAUCUGAGUCCCAUCUCCCAGCGAUUCAUUCUGACUGAGGAUAGGAGCAGUUUAAUCCAUUUGUCCUGGGAUUGGAUGUUGUGAAUACUGAGGUGAACAUGCCAUAGAACCUGCCUUCACGUAGAUCACACUUUAAAGAAGAGACAGGUGAGGACCUUGUGCUGACUGCUGUGUGAAUGAGGUACAGUCAGAAUCCAGAGGGGAGAAGGACUAAUUCCGGAUGGCGGGGGAGGUGUAUCAGGGAAGACCUCACAGAAGCAGACCCUGAAGCUGGAUUUUGGAGGGUGAUAGGUUGGCAGUCAAGAUGGGCAGAGAGUUUCCAGCAGGAACCAGGGCCCAGCGGGGUGAAGCAGCAAACUGAGUCUUGUGAACUAUUGGUAAUCAGGGUCGUUAUGGGUAAACCAUGGGACGGGAAGUGGUGAGGGAUGCCGCCGUAGGGUUGAGCAGGGCUGAGGACCUUUUUAGGCUAUGCUGAAGGAACUUGAUCACACUGAUCGGUAGCUGGCAAACCUUGCUGGUCACCAGAAUUACCUGGGCAAUGUCCGAAACAAUGCCUGGGUCCCACCUCCAGAGGAUCACAUAUCAGUAGGUCUGGGUGUCUCCCCAGGUGAUGAGGAAGAGAAGGGCUGACCAGCAGAGAAGAGGCUGGGAAAAGCAAAACAGCGGGAGUAGCAAUACUGAAAAGCAACCUGGAGAACUGGUCCAGCAGCCUGUGGGGUGACUAGGUUUCUACCCCACUCUUUUUCUGCCCUACUUUAAAAAGAAAUGUUUGGGCUUUCGAGACUGUCUUUUGUACAAUCUUUACUCGAUGACUGCUUGUUGCAGAACAUCUGCUGAUGUGCACUGGGGCAUUAAGAGUGUUACUAACACCGAUCUGGGUUUGGCAGGAGCCCCAUCUGUGUGUAAAGUUUAUUUGGCUCUAUACGCGUCAUCUCAAGUAGUCACAGUAAUGGUAACAAAUGAGGCAUGUUAGGAUUUAUUGUUACAGUACAUACUUAUUA
ensembl:lncRNA